rnacentral:rRNA from 1 species
UACAGAGGGUGCAAGCGUUGUUCGGAAUUAUGGGGCGUAAAGCGCGUGUAGGCGGCUUUGCAAGUCGGGUGUGAAAGCCCUCAGCUUAACUGAGGAAGUGCGCCCGAAACUGCAGAGCUUGAGUACCGGAGAGGGUGGCGGAAUUCCCCAAGUAGAGGUGAAAUUCGUAGAUAUGGGGAGGAACACCGGUGGCGAAGGCGGCCACCUGGACGGAUACUGACGCUGAGACGCGAAAGCGUGGGUAGCAAACAGG